CUUCAGGGGAAUGACUUUGUAACCAUUGGGGUGUUGUGGAGUUUCCGGGCUGUAUGGCCAUGUUCCAGUAGCAUUUUCUCCUGACGUUUCACCUGCAUCUGUGGCUGGCAUCGAAGUGAAAGCGUCAGGAGAAA